UACGAAGGGGACUAGCGUUGUUCGGAAUUACUGGGCGUAAAGCGCACGUAGGCGGAUUUGUAAGUCAGGGGUGAAAUCCCGGGGCUCAACCUCGGAACUGCCUUUGAUACUGCAAAUCUCGAGUCCGAUAGAGGUGGGUGGAAUUCCUAGUGUAGAGGUGAAAUUCGUAGAUAUUAGGAAGAACACCGGUGGCGAAGGCGGCCCACUGGAUCGGUACUGACGCUGAGGUGCGAAAGCGUGGGGAGCAAAACAGG
rnacentral:rRNA from 1 species